AAGGGAAAAUUAGAAGACAAAGAAAUCCUUUGUUUUCAACUAAAUUUCCAUGGGAAAUUUUGUUGAAAACAAAGGAUUUCUUUGUCUUCUAAUUUCCCU
rnacentral:miRNA from 1 species